rnacentral:rRNA from 1 species
GACGAACGCUGGCGGCGUGCUUAACACAUGCAAGUCGAACGGAAAGGCCCUGCUUUUGUGGGGUGCUCGAGUGGCGAACGGGUGAGUAACACGUGAGUAACCUGCCCUUGACUUUGGGAUAACUUCAGGAAACUGGGGCUAAUACCGGAUAGGAGCUCCUGCUGCAUGGUGGGGGUUGGAAAGUUUCGGCGGUUGGGGAUGUACUCGCGGCUUAUCAGCUUGUUGGUGGGGUAGUGGCUUACCAAGGCUUUGACGGGUAGCCGGCCUGGGAGGGGUGCCGGCCACAUUGGGACUGCGAUACGGCCCAGACUCCUACGGGCGGCAGCAGGGGGGAAUAUUGCGCAAUGGGCGGAAGCCUGAUGCAGCAACGCCGCGUGCGGGAUGACGGCCUUCGGGUUGUAAACCGCUUUCGCCUGUGACGAAGCGUGAGUGACGGUAAUGGGUAAAGAAGCACCGGCUAACUACGUG